UACGAAGGGGGCUAGCGUUGCUCGGAAUUACUGGGCGUAAAGCGCACGUAGGCGGCUUUGUAAGUUAGAGGUGAAAGCCUGGGGCUCAACCCCAGAAUUGCCUUUAAGACUGCAUCGCUUGAAUCCAGGAGAGGUGAGUGGAAUUCCGAGUGUAGAGGUGAAAUUCGUAGAUAUUCGGAAGAACACCAGUGGCGAAGGCGGCUCACUGGACUGGUAUUGACGCUGAGGUGCGAAAGCGUGGGGAGCAAACAGG
rnacentral:rRNA from 1 species